rnacentral:rRNA from 1 species
UACGUAGGGCGCAAGCGUUGUCCGGAAUUAUUGGGCGUAAAGAGCUCGUAGGCGGCCAGUUGCGUCUGCUGUGAAAUCCCGGGGCUCAACCCCGGGCGUGCAGUGGAUACGGGCUGGCUAGAGGCAGGCAGGGGAGAACGGAAUUCCCGGUGUAGCGGUGAAAUGCGCAGAUAUCGGGAGGAACACCGGUGGCGAAGGCGAUUCUCUGGGCCUGUACUGACGCUGAGGAGCGAAAAGCGUGGGGGAGCGAACAGG